CCUACGGGAGGCGGCAGUGAGGAAUAUUGGUCAAUGGACGAGAGUCUGAACCAGCCAAGUAGCGUGAAGGAUGACUGCCCUAUGGGUUGUAAACUUCUUUUAUAUGGGAAUAAAAUGUUCCACGUGUGGGAUGUUGUAUGUACCAUAUGAAUAAGGAUCGGCUAACUCCGUGCCAGCAGCCGCGGUAAUACGGAGGAUCCGAGCGUUAUCCGGAUUUAUUGGGUUUAAAGGGAGCGUAGGUGGGUUGGUAAGUCAGUUGUGAAAGUUUGCGGCUCAACCGUAGAAUUGCAGUUGAAACUGGCAGUCUUGAGUACAGUAGAGGUGGGCGGAAUUCGUGGUGUAGCGGUGAAAUGCUUAGAUAUCACGAAGAACUCCGAUUGCGAAGGCAGCUCACUGGACUGCAACUGACACUGAGGCUCGAAAGUGUGGGUAUCAAACAGGAUUAGAUACCCUUGUAGUC
rnacentral:rRNA from 1 species